GACGAACGCUGGCGGCGUGCCUAAUACAUGCAAGUAGAACGCUGAAGAGAGGAGCUUGCUCUUCUUGGAUGAGUUGCGAACGGGUGAGUAACGCGUAGGUAACCUGCCUUGUAGCGGGGGAUAACUAUUGGAAACGAUAGCUAAUACCGCAUAACAAUGGAUGACACAUGUCAUUUAUUUGAAAGGGGCAAUUGCUCCACUACAAGAUGGACCUGCGUUGUAUUAGCUAGUAGGUGAGGUAACGGCUCACCUAGGCGACGAUACAUAGCCGACCUGAGAGGGUGAUCGGCCACACUGGGACUGAGACACGGCCCAGACUCCUACGGGAGGCAGCAGUAGGGAAUCUUCGGCAAUGGGGGCAACCCUGACCGAGCAACGCCGCGUGAGUGAAAAAGGUUUUCGGAUCGUAAAGCUCUGUUGUAAGUCAAGAACGAGUGUGAGAGUGGAAAGUUCACACUGUGACGGUAGCUUACCAGAAAGGGACGGCUAACUACGUGCCAGCAGCCGCGGUAAUACGUAGGUCCCGAGCGUUGUCCGGAUUUAUUGGGCGUAAAGCGAGCGCAGGCGGUUUGAUAAGUCUGAAGUUAAAGGCUGUGGCUCAACCAUAGUUCGCUUUGGAAACUGUCAAACUUGAGUGCAGAAGGGGAGAGUGGAAUUCCAUGUGUAGCGGUGAAAUGCGUAAAUAUAUGGAGGAACACCGGUGGCGAAAGCGGCUCUCUGGUCUGUAACUGACGCUGAGGCUCGAAAGCGUGGGGAGCGAACAGG
rnacentral:rRNA from 1 species